UACGUAGGGUGCGAGCGUUAAUCGGAAUUACUGGGCGUAAAGCGUGCGCAGGCGGUUCGUUAAGUCAGAUGUGAAAGCCCCGGGCUCAACCUGGGAACUGCAUUUGAAACUGGCGGGCUUGAGUGUGGCAGAGGGGGGUGGAAUUCCGCGUGUAGCAGUGAAAUGCGCAGAUAUCAGGAGGAACACCAAUGGCGAAGGCAGCACUCUGGGACGUGACUGACGCUGAGACGCGAAAGCGUGGGGAGCAAACAGG
rnacentral:rRNA from 1 species